GGGAGGGGGUGACUAGUGACAGAGUGAGAGAGGGGGUGACUAGUGACAGAGUGAGGGAGGGGGUGACUAGUGACAGAGAGAGGGAGGGGAGGGGGUGACUAGUGACAGUCACCACCUCCUUCACUCUGUCACUAGUCACCCCUUCCUUCCCUCACUCUGCCACUAGUCACCCCUUCCCUCACUCUGCCACUAGUCACCCCUUCCCUCACUCUGUCACUAGUCACCCCCUCCC